UACAGAGGUCCCAAGCGUUGUUCGGAUUCACUGGGCGUAAAGCGCGUGUAGGCGGUUCGAUAAGUCUGCUGUGAAAGUCCAGGGCUCAACCCUGGGAUGCCGGUGGAUACUGUCGAGCUAGAGUACGGAAGAGGCGAGUGGAAUUCCCAGUGUAGAGGUGAAAUUCGUAGAUAUUGGGAAGAACACCAGUGGCGAAGGCGGCUAACUGGUCCAGCACUGACGCUGAGGUGCGAAAGCGUGGGGAGCAAACAGG
rnacentral:rRNA from 1 species